GGGGAUGAUCGGUUUCGACAUUGCCUGCGAAACUGCGAGAAGCGGGUCGAGGAUUCAGGGUUAUCUCGUUAACGAUCUCUGAAAAACAAUAAGUGCCAAAUCAAACCGCACUGUCUCUGCUCAGGCAGACUUCGCCCUCGCGGCGUAGUUCUCUUCUAAGCACUAAAUAGAGACCGUCAGUCCGGGAAUGCUCUCUACCCGGGUUCUGGCGACAUUCAGAGAGAUUGCUUCCGCGUUACGCCUGAGGGCGCGGAGGGACUUGCACUCGGGCUGGGCCCGUCGAGCUAGAUGCCUGUAGCAAAGCUCGGGGCCGAGUAAAACGAACUCAACAGGAUACGCCCGUAGAAGGCGCAGAAUCACAGCAGUGGACCGGGGUUCAAUUCCCCGCAUCUCCACCA
rnacentral:tmRNA from 1 species